rnacentral:rRNA from 1 species
AUUGAACGCUGGCGGCAGGCCUAACACAUGCAAGUCGAGCGGAUGAAGGGAGCUUGCUCCUGGAUUCAGCGGCGGACGGGUGAGUAAUGCCUAGGAAUCUGCCUGGUAGUGGGGGAUAACGUCCGGAAACGGGCGCUAAUACCGCAUACGUCCUGAGGGAGAAAGUGGGGGAUCUUCGGACCUCACGCUAUCAGAUGAGCCUAGGUCGGAUUAGCUAGUUGGUGGGGUAAAGGCCUACCAAGGCGACGAUCCGUAACUGGUCUGAGAGGAUGAUCAGUCACACUGGAACUGAGACACGGUCCGGACUCCUACGGGAGGCAGCAGUGGGGAAUAUUGGACAAUGGGCGAAAGCCUGAUCCAGCCAGGCCGCGUGUGUGAAGAAGGUCUUCGGAUUGUAAAGCACUUUAAGUUGGGAGGAAGGGCAGUAAGUUAAUACCUUGCUGUUUUGACGUUACCAACAGAAUAAGCACCGGCUAACUUCGU